UAUCGGAACGUGCCCGGGGAGUGGGGGAGUAACGCAGCGAAAGUUGCGCUAAUACCGCAUACGAUCUAAGGAUGAAAGCAGGGGACCGCAAGGCCUUGUGCUCCUGGAGCGGCCGAUAUCUGAUUAGCUAGUUGGUGGGGUAAAGGCCUACCAAGGCAUCGAUCAGUAGCUGGUCUGAGAGGACGACCAGCCACACUGGAACUGAGACACGGUCCAG
rnacentral:rRNA from 1 species